rnacentral:rRNA from 1 species
UGGGGAAUUUUGGACAAUGGGGGAAACCCUGAUCCAGCCAUCCCGCGUGUGCGAUGAAGGCCUUCGGGUUGUAAAGCACUUUUGGCAGGAAAGAAACGUCAUGGGUUAAUACCCCGUGAAACUGACGGUACCUGCAGAAUAAGCACCGGCUAACUACGUGCCAGCAGCCGCGGUAAUACGUAGGGUGCAAGCGUUAAUCGGAAUUACUGGGCGUAAAGCGUGCGCAGGCGGUUCGGAAAGAAAGAUGUGAAAUCCCAGAGCUCAACUUUGGAACUUCAUUUUUAGCUACCGUGCUUAAGUGUGUCAGAGGGAGGUGGAAUUCCGCGUGUAGCAGUGAAAUGCGUAGAUAUGCGGAGGAACACCGAUGGCGAAGGCAGCCUCCUGGGAUAACACUGACGCUCAUGCACGAAAGCGUGGGGAGCAAACAGG